AUUGAACGCUGGCGGCAGGCCUAACACAUGCAAGUCGAACGAGUGGCGGACGGGUGAGCUAUGAAUGGGAAACUGCCCGAUGGAGGGGGAUAACUACUGGAAACGGUAGCUAAUACCGCAUAACUUCGGAUGUGCCCAGAUGGGAUUAGGUAGUAGGUGGGGUAACGGCGCACCUAGGCGACGAUCCCUAGCUGGUCUGAGAGGAUGACCAGCCACCGUGGAACUGAGACACGGUCCAGACUCCUACGGGAGGCAGCAGUGGGGAAUAUUGGACAAUGGGCGCAAGCCUGAUGCAGCCAUGCCGCGUGUAUGAAGAAGGCCUUCGGGUUGUAAAGUACUUUCAGCUGGGAGGCGUUACUCGCAGAAGAAGCACCGGCUAACUCCGUGCCAGCAGCCGCGGUAAUUC
rnacentral:rRNA from 1 species